UGGGGAAUAUUGCACAAUGGGCGAAAGCCUGAUGCAGCAACGCCGCGUGAGUGAUGAAGGCCUUCGGGUUGUAAAGCUCUGUCUUCUGGGACGAUAAUGGCGGUACCAGAGGAGGAAGCCACGGCUAACUACGUGCCAGCAGCCGCGGUAAUACGUAGGUGGCAAGCGUUGUCCGGAUUUACUGGGCGUAAAGGAUGCGUAGGCGGAUACUUAAGUCAGAUGUGAAAAUCCCGGGCUUAACUUGGGAACUGCAUUUGAAACUGGGUAUCUAGAGUGCGGGAGAGGAAAGUGGAAUUCCUAGUGUAGCGGUGAAAUGCGUAGAGAUUAGGAAGAACACCAGUGGCGAAGGCGACUUUCUGGACCGUAACUGACGCUGAGGCAUGAAAGCGUGGGGAGCAAACA
rnacentral:rRNA from 1 species